rnacentral:rRNA from 1 species
CUGCAGCCCGAGUGGUGAUCGUUAUUAUUGGGCCUAAAGCGUCCGUAGCCGGUUCGGUAAAUCUCUGGGUAAAUCGAUGGGCUUAACCCAUCGAAUUCUGGGGAGACUGCUGGACUUGGGACCGGGAGAGGUCGGAGGUACUCCAGGGGUAGGGGUGAAAUCCUGUAAUCCUUGGGGGACCACCGGUGGCGAAGGCGUCCGACCAGAACGGGUCCGACGGUAAGGGACGAAGCCCUGGGGCGCAAACCGGAUUAGAUACCCGAGUAGUCC